rnacentral:rRNA from 1 species
ACUCCUACGGGAGGCAGCAGUGGGGAAUAUUGGACAAUGGGGGAAACCCUGAUCCAGCCAUGCCGCGUGUGUGAAGAAGGCCUUCGGGUUGUAAAGCACUUUCAGUGGGGAGGAAAGGUUGAUGGUUAAUACCUAUCAGCUGUGACGUUACCCACAGAAGAAGCACCGGCUAACUCCGUGCCAGCAGCCGCGGUAAUACGGAGGUGCAAGCGUUAAUCGGAAUUACUGGGCGUAAAGCGUGCGCAGGCGGUCUGUUAAGCGAGAUGUGAAAGCCCCGGGCUCAACCUGGGAACUGCAUUUCGAACUGGCAGACUAGAGUCUUGUAGAGGGGUAGAAUUCCAGGUGUAGCGGUGAAAUGCGUAGAGAUCUGGAGGAAUACCGGUGGCGAAGGCGGCCCCUGGACAAAGACUGACGCUCAGGCACGAAAGCGUGGGAGCAAACAGGAUUAGAUACCCUGGUAGGUCAGUC